rnacentral:rRNA from 1 species
AUACGGAGGAUCCGAGCGUUAUCCGGAUUUAUUGGGUUUAAAGGGUGCGCAGGCGGCCAUUUAAGUCAGCGGUUAAAUCGUGGGGCUCAACCCCAUUCUGCCGUUGAUACUGGGUGGCUUGAUUGCGGUCGAGGUUGGCGGAAUUCGUUGUGUAGAGGUGAAAUGCAUAGAUAUGACGAAGAACACCGAUUGCGUAGGCAGCUGACCAGACCGCAAAUGACGCUCAUGCACGAAAGUGCGGGGAUCGAACAGGAUUAGAUACCCUGGUAGUCCGCACAGUAAACGAUGAAUACUUGUUUUCGGCGAUAUAAUGUCGGAGGCAAAGCGAAAGCGAUAAGUAUUCCACCUGGGGAGUACGCCGGCAACGGUGAAACUCAAAUGAAUUGACGGGG